rnacentral:lncRNA from 1 species
AUUUUCAGAGAAACCCAAAAAGUGAAGUUGCUCUCCAGGAGAAGUGGUUUGUUAGGAAGACAUUGUUGGACCGCCCCGACACAAAAGAACACGCAUCGUGUUUUUAAAUAGAGACGUUAAAGUGUUAAACUUCAGUAAAAAUCUUCCUAACGUGCUUUUGCAGGUUGUGGGUAUCUUCGCUGGUUUCGGCCUCCUUCUGCUCGUCGCCUCCCCCUUCCUCCUCCUGGCCACGCCCAUCGUCCUCUGCUGCAAGUGCAAGUGCAGUAAAGGCGACGACGACCCGCUGCCAACCUAAGCAGCGGCGCCGGCCUUCACGGGUUUACAGCCGCGCCACGGACGAGCCAUGUUCAUCAUCUCCUUCCUCAUCUUCCUCUGUCCGGUUCUUUUCCCCCUCUGUUCCCAUCCUCCUCCAGCUUUAAGUGGCCUCCACGUUUUCAGGCCACGCCCACCGCUUUCGGGAUCCAUUCACUCUGCACGAGGAGGACAUGAGAGACAAUCCGGAUGUAAAGAAGGUGCCAUCUGUCUGCAGUCCCCGAGUCCCUGAGCCAUGUGGGCCGGCCCGGCGCCUGCCAACGUCACUGACCUGCAGCAACCGUCCACACCUCCGUCACACACCUCCUGAUCCGUCUGGGAUAAAUAGCAUCUCCCUCAACUUCUGUGCUGCCGUCGCUGCUUCCCAAUCUGUCCUGUGUUAGAAUGGAAAGAGCACGCGAGGUGACGGAGGGACGGAGAGAAAGAGACAAAUGACAACAAAGAAGUUAUAGAUGGAUGGAACGAAAUAUAAGCAUUUAAAGAGUUGAUCGAUAUAAGCCGGAUUUUACGAUUUUGUCCAACAAUGAUCGGAACUAACUGCUAAAUGACACCCCUCCCCCCCACCAACACCACCACCACCACAUAGGCAGGGGAGGUCACCUUCAUGUGGGCCUGAUGUUGGGGCAGCUGCAUGCUGAAAAAUGAGAUCAGCUGCCUUGCUUGCUGGGACGUAUGCAGCAGCCCGAAGCAACCCGGGGCUCGGUGCAGCAACCAGCAUACGCCAACCCCAGUGAAAUAAAUCCCACCCCCACCCCCAAGCCUGUCUUCCUACCUGCCACCCUGGGGCAUGUUGGGUCACCUUGACGACUGGGGAGCCGCAACUCGCUUCAGGGGCAAAGACAGAAGCAGGAUGGGUAAUGAGGCAUUGCAAUGCAAGUGGAGCAGCUUUAAGUAGAAGAAGAAAAAAAAUCUCAUACAAGCUUUGCAGUUUGGGUUUAGAGGCGGACGACAAUGUUUUAUUUUGGUAAAAACACAAACCAGUAGAAACAGUGGUGAUUUGUUCACACCGAGCAUGCGUUCAAGAACACACUUGAAGAACGCGUUCUUGAACAAAUUUUUUGCACAUGGCGUUUACAUCGGACUGUCGCUAACCAAUACAAGCCAGAGUCAGAAAACACAAAUUAUGAACAUUUUUUAUAUGGUUGGCACUGCCAUAAAUUAAUAAGGACAUCAUCCAUUCCUCACCACCACAUCCGAGUCUCUGAUUGGUCAAAGUCUGACCUGGUUUAACUUUCAACGUGCGUUCAAUGGCCACGCUGUUUAUACAUAGAGCCCGAAAACAGCCGUAGAAAUUUGUGUAACUAUGGCUGAAUGCACACUAAAAAAAAGAUUUUUUGGCCUUGUAAAUAUGAAUUCGGUUAUCUAUGUAAAUCCUACAUAAUAACACCAAUUCUGCGCUUUUACUUAAAAUAGCUUGUUUUCAUGUAGUGCAUUACUUGGUAAUUUUUUGUAAUUAUAAGUCCUCUGUUUUGUAUGGAAAUUCCAUCCAAGUAAUAUUUACUAAACCAGUUCAUUGGCUUAAUUAGUUG